GACGAACGCUGGCGGCGUGCUUAACACAUGCAAGUCGAACGAUGAACCCGGAGCUUGCUCCGGUGGAUUUGUGGCGAACGGGUGAGUAACACGUGAGUAACCUGCCCUUGACUCUGGGAUAACUGCGGGAAACUGUAGCCAAUACCGGAUACGACCCUCGGCGGCAUCGCCAGGGGGUGGAACGAAUUUCGGUCAAGGAUGGACUCGCGGCCUAUCAGCUAGUUGGUGAGGUACAGGCGCACCAAGGCGCCGACGGGUAGCCGGCCGGAGAGGGUGACCGGCCACACUGGACUGAGACACGGCCCAGACUCCUACGGGAGGCAGCAGUGGGGAAUAUUGCACAAUGGGCGCAAGCCUGAUGCAGCAACGCCGCGUGAGGGAUGACGGCCUUCGGGUUGUAAACCUCUUUUAGUAGGGAAGAAGCGAAAGUGACGGUACCUGCAGAAAAAGCACCGGCUAACUACGUGCCAGCAGCCGCCGUAA
rnacentral:rRNA from 1 species